CAAGGAGUAGAGAAGCUAACUAUGGCGAGCCUGACGGAGCACGCCGCGUGAGUGAAGAAGGUCUUCGGAUCGUAAAACUCUGUUAUUAGGGAAGAACAAAUGUGUAAGUAACUAUGCACGUCUUGACGGUACCUAAUCAGAAAGCCACGGCUAACUACGUGCCAGCAGCCGCGGUAAUACGUAGGUGGCAAGCGUUAUCCGGAAUUAUUGGGCGUAAAGCGCGCGUAGGCGGUUUUUUAAGUCUGAUGUGAAAGCCCACGGCUCAACCGUGGAGGGUCAUUGGAAACUGGAAAACUUGAGUGCAGAAGAGGAAAGUGGAAUUCCAUGUGUAGCGGUGAAAUGCGCAGAGAUAUGGAGGAACACCAGUGGCGAAGGCGACUUUCUGGUCUGUAACUGACGCUGAUGUGCGAAAGCGUGGGGAUCAAACAGGAUUAGAUACCCCGGUAGUCAGCUUCUCAUC
rnacentral:rRNA from 1 species